rnacentral:rRNA from 1 species
GACGAACGCUGGCGGCGUGCCUAACACAUGCAAGUCGAGCGGGGUUGAAGCGAGGGGUAACUCGAACUUCUACCUAGCGGCGGACGGGUGAGUAACGCGUGGGCAACCUGCCUCAAGGAUCGGGAUAACAGCUCGAAAGGGCUGCUAAUACCGGAUAUGCCUAUGGCCUCGCAUGGGGCUGUGGGCAAAGGGGAAACCCGCCUUGAGAUGGGCCCGCGUCCCAUCAGCUAGUUGGUGAGGUGAAGGCUCACCAAGGCGACGACGGGUAGCCGGCCUGAGAGGGUGACCGGCCACACUGGGACUGAGACACGGCCCAGACUCCUACGGGGGGCAGCAGUGGGGGAUCUUGCACAAUGGGCGAAAGCCUGAUGCAGCGACGCCGCGUGAGCGAAGAAGGCCUUCGGUUGUAAAGCUCUGUCUGGAGGGACGAAGGAAAGUAGACGGUACCUCCGGAGGAAGGCCACGGCUAACUACGUGCCAGCAGCCGCGGUAAAGUCACGUCG